UUGGAAACUAGUAUGAAAGGUUUAAUUAAUUAAAUUUAUUUGGUUUUUAAAUAAUAAAAUAAAUGUAAAGUAAGAAUUCUUUAAUAAAUUAGGGGACGAUAAGACCCUAAAAGCUUUAUAAACAGUAAUUAGUUAGUGUUUUUGGUGUUGUUAAUUGACUGGGGAAGUAGUUUUAGAUUUAGAUUAAAAUAAUGAUAGGAGAUCCCUUAUUUAAGGAUUAAAUAUGUGAGUUACUUUAGGGAUAACAGUGCAAUAUACUUGGGGAGACCGCGUCUAUAAGUAUGGUUGCAACCUCGAUGUUGAAUUAGGAUAUCUAUGUGUGCAGAAUAUACAUAAGAAAGUUUGUUCAACUUUUAAAUUUUUACAUGAUCUGAGUUCAAACCGG
rnacentral:rRNA from 1 species